UGGAUGAUGUCGCUUUUUUGUCACCAGUUUCUUCUCCAAACGGGUCAAUGACAGCUGGGGCCAGGUGCGUGUGGGACCGACGAGCAGAGGCAGCGGUGCUGUAUGCUCUGUGUCGCCUGGUCGCCUGUCGAUCAGAGGUGAGAGAAUCUAGAUCGAACAGGGCAAACCAAUCUGGCCUCGCUCCUCGCUUCCCAAUUCCCGUCCCUCGCCUCGCUCUCCUCCUUCCCAAUCCCCGCCUCCUCUCCUCCCCCGAAUCAGCCGCCUCCUCUUCACCUGCCGCCUCUCCCCUCCGCGUUCGUGGGUCGGAGGAGGUGCGGCCGGAGCGCGCACGGAGGUUGGCGGUGGCGACGCCCACUCCUCUCCUCGUCCCCGUCCUCUCCUCUUCCUCCGCCCUCGAGGUCGUCUUCCGGCGGAGCGACGGCAAGGAGCACAAGGGCGGCGGCGGCUGUUGGAUGCUCGUUUCCUCCCAGGCACCCACGACCUCGCGGGGACGUGGAGGACGGAGGAGGAGCACAUGGCCGUGGGUGGGACGGCGGCAGGAUUUCAUCUUCCCUUCACUGUUGAUGUGGAGGAGUAGGAGAGGUCGACGUCGGUGGCGGCGGGUGGAGGUGAGGCGGCCAGAGACGGGCCGGCGCGGGGCGGAUCCGCGGAGGCGACGGGCGCGGACGGAGACAGGCCGGCACGGUAGCCUCCUCCAAAGCUCGCGGUAGCAGCUGGUCGACGACAACGGCCGCAUAGGUUCGUCACCUCCUCCCCUUGUCUAUCCCGCACGGCUGCCGGAAGAAAAACAAGACAACGGCAUCGCUGCCACAUGGGAUCUCCUUGUAUGACGCUGCCGUGGUGGGUUUUGUUAGCUUUCAGCUGGGAAGGACACCAACAUGGUUAUAGACUUAUAGCUGUUUUGGACUUGGGAUAUGAAUCGUUGGGUGUUAAAAGCACUUCAUAGCAGCUUGGUCAUACCAUGGAUUCUUUGGAAGCUCUUUUCAGAAGCAGAGAGAGUGUACUACAUUGGAGGAUUAAAAGAUCUGCACAAUAUUUGCUUUCUCAAUGUUAACCUGCAGGUAUCUCCUACUCUUCAAUGAAUCUGUAUUAUGGUGUUCUUUAUGUGUAGUAUCAUCAUCGGGUUUGAGUUCAUACUAAAUCAGAGAAUAUUUCCAGGCACCGCCAGCUGCAGCCAUUUUGUGUCAUCUUUAAAUGAUUUGCUUGGAAGUGAUUGCUUGCUAGAAUAGUCUGAAAAUGCCUCUUAUCUUUGCUUAGACCAUGUGGCUCGGUUCAGAUUUUUAUUUUCUGUGCAAUAAUCACUUUCUUUUUCCAUUUUGGAGUCCUUAUAAUGUGCGGAGGAAAUUAUUCAGCAGCAAUGCAGUUGGGUAACAUAGAAAGACUAUUAGGUAUGCUCGUGUUAAUAUUCUAAUCGCUGUCAGCGAAGUGUUCCCUUCAAAUCUAUGAGGUCCCAAAACUGAUGUGUUGUGUUGGUAUAUUUCCCCCUUCUCAUCCCAUGUACCUGUUCAGAUUAUUGAAUUGCAUACACGGGAGCAGUUCAAAAGUUUGCACUGUUGAUUCACAGUGUUGGUGCUGAUGCAUCUUUUCUAGGAUGUAUCGGUUCUAAUGCAUGUAUGAAAAAUUCAUUCCCCUUUCUCGCGUUGUGCAUGUCAAUUCGGUACUGGUAGAACUUCUUAUCUUGCUCUUUAUUAUUAUUCUUAUUCUUGAUAUAUAGUUACUGAAGUUCAGUUUUAUGAAUUUAUGAAUGUAUACGAGAAAUUAGGUUUCCUAUCUUUUUCUACUUUACUCGCUUCGAUGACUGGUUUACCUGCUAGAGCAGCAUCCCAUUGUUCAGUAGAAGGUAAAGUAAGGAAGACAUUGGUCAGGUUCUUAAUUCGUUCAUACAUACUCUCUGAUUUGAACUAGCACAUAACAAUGUUGCUUAUUGUCUACAGCUAAUGCCAUGUCUCUCUAGAAUGCAAUAUACUAAUAACUUUUAUCCCAAAAUUUCCAGCGCCAGUUGGCCGCGCUGCAAGGUACGCUGAAGAUAUCUGAAGGAUUGAUUGGCACUGUCAGUGUCUAGGCAAAGCAUGCAAUAGCUCGUUUAUCCCUGUUUACCUUGGCACCGGAUUGAUGGACCUCUAUAUACGCAUGGAAAUAAAUAAGUAUGUAUUCUACGGAUAAUAUUUGUGUUGUAUGCAUCUCAAAUUGGCCUGGGAUGGCAAUGCGAGGUUGAACUCUCUCAUUAUCUACCUCGCCUUUCUAAACUUGUUUUGCUGCUAGCUUGAGAGUAUAACAGUGGAUAAUCACCAUUAGCACAAUGGGACAAGAACUCAUGAUGAAGCCGACAUAAUUCGCUAGGAUAAUCACCAUUUGAAAAAAAAGGGUGUAGGCAUAAGAAGAAUCAGAUUAGCAACAGUACAUUAGUUAGGCAUGGAGGUUCUGCUCGACAAGCUCUUUGUGCCCAAGCUCGAAAGUGUUUUCUAUUGCAACCAGGUCCGUGUUCUUUGCCAUAGCUGCCUCACUUAAAACAGCAAUUGUCACUCAACAGCAAGUCUCCACAACCGUAGAAAGGGUUAUUUCUUUAUCCAUUUUCUCUUUUACUUGUUACAGACAUCUUUAUUCUAAGUCAAUCCUUGCACUGGUCUGGGUAGUAUCAUCGUUAAUAUCAUAUUAAUCUGUAAUCCACGUAGUAUUGCCAGGUUGCUCAGAGUCUACUAGAACACAUCUCAAUUGGAACCACUGAGAUUGAUUUAUGUAAGGAGUAUGUUUUCUGCAAGAUGUUGGCUUAGUACACAAAGCUGCGUGAUGCUGAGCACAACCAGAUUCCAUAGAAUAUACUUUCUUUUUUAAAGAGAUAUGCAAGUGGGUACCGCUUCUUUGCAAAAUAUACACGAAGGCAGUCCAAUGCUUGUUUACAAGUGUGUACUGCUUCUUUGCAAAAUAUACAUGAAGGCAGUCCAAUGCUUGUUUAAGUGGUGGUUUAAUCUGCAGCUGCAUAUUUGAUUUUGAGGUCUGGUCACCACUUUCUUUUAUCGAAGUAGCAUAGCAUUUGUACUACCGAGAGACAUACACAGAGUGAAUGAGCAAUGGCCGUGCAAAAGAAAUAAUUUUCAGUUAUCAUAGAAGCUGAAGAUAGAGAUAUACAAUAGUAUUACAUCUAGCAAUUAUACUCUUAUCAAUGUCUCACACUAAUCGUAGAAGAAAUGGUUAUCAAGUUACACUCCAGUUAAUCCAACAUCCAUGGUAGCCAUAUGCAGCCUUGGGAUUAGGUGGUCUACAGGCACCCUCUGUGUUUUACCCUUGACCAUGUCCCUGUUUUGCUCAAAGAAAGCGGAAGCUAUUUUCCCAGUCCACCUUGUCCUCUCCACCUUCUUGAGGAUAACAAAAACACCAUGUAGUAUUUGGCAUAAACAAAGUGACAUUUUUAUAGCAUUGGGGGAGUACAUAAAAAGUGUUCCUCCAUUCUAAAGAAUCUACAACUUGCCAACUGUGAAACUGAUCCCAAAUAAAGGCAUGGCAGUUGCCUUUGAUGAUUAAUGAUGCAUUUGGAGCAAUGAUAUGCUCUCAUCCGCUCCUUUAAAAAGGUCGUUAAUAACCGUACUAAUUACUCACUUGCUU